UACGGGGGGGGUAAGCGUUGUUCGGAAUUACUGGGCGUAAAGAGCGCGCAGGCGGUCGUUCAAGUCGCGUGUGAAAGCCCCCGGCUCAACUGGGGAGGGUCACGCGAUACUGAUCGACUCGAAGGCGGGAGAGGGUAGUGGAAUUCCCGGUGUAGUGGUGAAAUGCGUAGAUAUCGGGAGGAACACCAGUGGCGAAGGCGACUACCUGGCCUGUUCUUGACGCUGAGGCGCGAAAGCUAGGGGAGCAAACGGG
rnacentral:rRNA from 1 species